GUUUAGAUAGCUUAAAUUUUAAAGCUUAUCAUUGAAGAUGAUAAAAUGAUUGUAUUGAUCUUUAAACA
rnacentral:tRNA from 1 species